CCUUUUCUUGGUUGGUCCCUUUCGCUGUAUGGCGUGCUCGUUUGGGUUGGGCGUCGGCUAAGAGUGCUCGGAGCGUGGAUUUACUCCAGUUUCCUAUCAGGUGUGUAUUUCUCACUACUCUAGCUGUAGGAUGGCUACUUCGGGCCGCGAUGGGCUGAAAGGGGUCAUGUGGGCCUACGGGCCCAAUUGGAUAAGUUGUUUGAUUGGGUAAUAAAUAUUAGACUAGGCUAGGUGAAUCUUAUAUUUGUGGCUGAAUUUGGGCUAAAAGGGCCACACGAGCGUGUGGGCCCAUUUAGGCCGAGAAUAGGCUUUAGGCCCAUUCGUAUUGUUAUCCCUAUUUAGAAUACUUUAGUUUACCAAAUUACUGAAAUGCCCUCGAUUUGUAGAAUUACCAUUUUACCCUCGAUUUAUAAAAUUACUGUUUCACCCUCGAUUUACAAAAUUAUCAUUUUACCCUCGAUUUAUAGAAUUACCAUUUUACCCUCGAUUUAUAGAAUUACCAUUUUACCCUCGAUUUAUAGAAUUACCAUUUUACCCUCGAUUUACAAAAUUACCAUUUUACCCUCGAUUGUGAAAUUAUUGAAAUACCCCUUGUAGGAUAGAAUUACCAAAAUACCCCUAGUUUGUAAAAUUACCAAAAUACCCCUAGUUUGUGAAAUUACCGAAAUACCAUUGGUUUGUGAAAUUACCGAAAUACCCUCAAUUUGUAAAAUUACCAAAAUACCCCUGAUUUACAAAAUUACAGAAAUACCCUUGACUUUCUAAAAAUUAUAGAAAUACCAUUGGUUUACAAAAUUAUUGAAAUACCCUUAGUUUGUAAAUUUACCAAAACACCCUUGUAGGAUGAAAUGACUAAAAUACCCCUUGUAGGUGAUUGAUUAUGGAAACGUUUCAACUUCAACCCAUAACAGGUGUGUACUAACCCUCGUAGUAGCUUAGAUUAAUAUCUGCUCAGAAGCCGAAAUGCUAAAAUACCGGCAUUUCGGGAACUUGAAAUGUUGCGUGUGGGUAUAGAUGCGAUAAAUACGAUAAGAUUGGUGUUUGGAUCGAUGGAACGGGUAAGAACUUAAUUUUGUGCACGAUGGUAAGUUGGGCCUCAAUGGGCAGGAAUUGGGCCAAAUGGGCUUUUGGGCCCAUUUAGGUAAAAUUGAUAGAAAAUGGAAUUUGGAAAAGUUGCAUGUUAACAUGGUUAGUAUUGUUGUAAAAUUUGGGUUAAGCAGGCUUAGUGGGCUAAAUCAGCAUUCGUAGGGCCCAUUAGGGGUUUUGGGCCCAAAAGCCCGAAUUUGAUAAGUGGGUUAAAGAUCAUUGUUUAAACACUCAGAAAUAUUGAAAAUUGUAAUGAACAUGGAAAACCCUUAUUUUUGGUAAAAUUACGAAAAUACCCUUAUAAUAUGAAAAAUGAUUGUUUUGCCCUUGUGGGCAAGUGGCUGACUCGGACUGUGUGGUUGACGGAUUUGAUUGUGAAUAUAUGUUGGUGAUAUGAAUGACUUGACUGUGAUUGUUUGAUUCAAAUAUGGGCAUGACAUUCUACAUACAUGACAUAUUGCAUGGGAUAUGGGUUAUAUUGAUGGAGGAAGUGCUAAAAGGGCUCUGCCCCAGUUUACCGAAAAGGGCUUUGCCCUAGUUAUUAAAAGAGGCUAGGCCUCCAGUUAUAUGAUAAAACAGCUAUACUGCCAGUGGAGAGUUUGGUUGGGUGGGUUGAGUUAUUCUCCACAUGGAGAGCUUGGUUGGUACGGGUGGAGAGUAGCGGAUGGUGGGUCGAGUAGUCUCCCCAAAUGGGCUUGCAUACAUUCAUUGACAUUACAUGUGAUAUUGAAAUGGGCUUGCAUACAUUCAUUGACAUUACAUGUGAUAUUGAAAUGGGCUUACAUACAUCCAUUGACAUUACAUGUGAUAUUGAAAUGGGCCUAAGGGCCAUACCGUUUACAGUAAAGGCUUCGGCCCAGUGAUAUGAUUUAUGAAAAGGCUUCGACCCAGUGAUAUGAUUUAUGAAAAGGCUUUGGCCCAGUGAUAUGAUUUAUGAAAAGGCUUCGGCCCAGUGAUAUGAUUUAUGGAAAGGCUUCGGCCCAGUAUAUGUCAAGACUAAAUAGGGCUUUGGCCCAGAUUGUACUGAUACCGUGUUAUUUAUUGUUUGUUUGUUAUUGGGGUUACACACUGAGUUUUCAUAAACUCACUCCGUUUCUAACUGUGCAGGUAAUUCCUAAGCUUAGAUGGUUUAGAGCUGCGAGGGACUCGGAGAUGGCCACACUACUGUUUUUGUUUCUUUAAAUUGCAAUAAGUAGCCGAUUUAUUUCUUUAUAAGUUUUAUCUUAUUAAUAUUAUUAUUUGGUUUUGGGUUGUAAUAAGGCCAUUUUAAUUAUUUUUCUGGGAUUAUUUUAUCUUAUACCCUAUAUUUUUCUGAUAACAAUAUGAGUUAGACCUAGGGCGC
rnacentral:lncRNA from 1 species